rnacentral:rRNA from 1 species
AUUGAACGCUGGCGGCAGGCCUAACACAUGCAAGUCGAGCGGAUGACGGGAGCUUGCUCCUUGAUUCAGCGGCGGACGGGUGAGUAAUGCCUAGGAAUCUGCCUGGUAGUGGGGGACAAAGUUUCGAAAGGAACGCUAAUACCGCAUACGUCCUACGGGCGAAAGCAGGGGACCUUCGGGCCUUGCGCUAUCAGAUGAGCCUAGGUCGGAUUAGCUAGUUGGUGGGGUAAUGGCUCAACAAGGCGACGAUCCGUAACUGGUCUGAGAGGAUGAUCAGUCACACUGGAACUGAGACCCGGGCCAGACUCCUACGGGAGGCAGCAGUGGGGAAGAUUGGACAAGGGGCGAAAGCCUGAUCCAGCCAUGCCGCGUGUGUGAAGAAGGUCUUCGGAUUGUAAAGCACUUUAAGUUGGGAGGAAUGGCAGUAAGUUAAUACCUUGCUGUUUUGACGUUACCGACAGAAUAAGCACCGGCCAACUCUGUGCCAGCAGCCGCCGUAA